rnacentral:rRNA from 1 species
UACAGAGGGUGCAAGCGUUGUUCGGAAUUAUUGGGCGUAAAGCGCGUGUAGGCGGCUUGGCAAGUCAGAUGUGAAAGCCCCCCGGCUUAACCGAGGAAGUGCGUCUGAAACUGCUGAGCUUGAGUGUCGGAGAGGAUGGCGGAAUUCCGCAAGUAGAGGUGAAAUUCGUAGAUAUGCGGAGGAACACCGGUGGCGAAGGCGGCCAUCUGGACGACUACUGACGCUGAGACGCGAAAGCGUGGGGAGCAAACAGG